GUUGAAGCGGGUCUUUGUGAUUGGCUUCUCCAUUAUAGUUUUCGGAAACAAAAUCUCAACUCAAACCGGAAUAGGAACUUGCAUCGCAAUUGCCGGAGUUGCCAUCUACUCAUACCUCAAGGCCAAGAUGGAAGAGGAGAAAAAACAAAAGAAAGCUGCAUGAGUCGCACAGCUAAAGAGCCCAGGGCCACAGGAGAGUGGAUCAUGGUGCUAAAUCCUUUGAUGUUGCAUUUUCCAGGAAAGAUGGAUAAAAUCAUUGAUGU
rnacentral:misc_RNA from 1 species